rnacentral:rRNA from 1 species
AUUGAACGCUGGCGGCAGGCUUAACACAUGCAAGUCGAGCGGAGAUGAGGUGCUCGCACCUUAUCUUAGCGGCGGACGGGUGAGUAAUGCUUAGGAAUCUGCCUAUUAGUGGGGGACAACAUUCCGAAAGGAAUGCUAAUACCGCAUACGUCCUACGGGAGAAAGCAGGGGAUCUUCGGACCUUGCGCUAAUAGAUGAGCCUAAGUCGGAUUAGCUAGUUGGUGGGGUAAAGGCCUACCAAGGCGACGAUCUGUAGCGGGUCUGAGAGGAUGAUCCGCCACACUGGGACUGAGACACGGCCCAGACUCCUACGGGAGGCAGCAGUGGGGAAUAUUGGACAAUGGGGGGAACCCUGAUCCAGCCAUGCCGCGUGUGUGAGGAAGGCCUUUUGGUUGUAAAGCACUUUAAGCGAGGAGGAGGCUACUUAGAUUAAUACUCUAGGAUAGUGGACGUUACUCGCAGAAUAAGCACCGGCUAACUCUGUGCCAGCAGCCGCCGUAAUAC